rnacentral:misc_RNA from 1 species
GAUGAAGAACGUAGCGAAAUGCGAUAAGUAAUGUGAAUUGCAGAAUUCAGUGAAUCAUCGAAUCUUUGAACGCACAUUGCGCCCGCCAGUACUCUGGCGGGCAUGCCUGUCCGAGCGUCAUUUCAACCCUCGAACCCCUCCGGGGGGUCGGCGUUGGGGAUCGGCCCUCCGUUCGCGGGGGCCGUCUCCGAAAUGCAGUGGCGGUCUCGCCGCAGCCUCCCCUGCGCAGUAGCUUGCACACUCGCACCGGGAGCGCGGCGCGUCCACAGCCGUUAAACACCCAACCUUCUGGAAUGUUGACCUCGGAUCAGGUAGGAAUACCCGCUGAACUUAAGCAUAUCAAUAAGCGGAGGA